UGGGGAAUAUUGCACAAUGGGCGCAAGCCUGAUGCAGCCAUGCCGCGUGUAUGAAGAAGGCCUUCGGGUUGUAAAGUACUUUCAGCGGGGAGGAAGGUGUUGAGGUUAAUAACCUCAGCAAUUGACGUUACCCGCAGAAGAAGCACCGGCUAACUCCGUGCCAGCAGCCGCGGUAACACGGAGGGUGCAAGCGUUAAUCGGAAUUACUGGGCGUAAAGCGCACGCAGGCGGUCUGUCAAGUCGGAUGUGAAAUCCCCGGGCUCAACCUGGGAACUGCAUUCGAAACUGGCAGGCUAGAGUCUUGUAGAGGGGGAUAGAAUUCCAGGUGUAGCGGUGAAAUGCGUAGAGAUCUGGAGGAAUACCGGUGGCGAAGGCAGCCCCCUGGACAAAGACUGACGCUCAGGUGCGAAAGCGUGGGGAGCAAACA
rnacentral:rRNA from 1 species